AUGAACCUCAUCUGACUGAAAGUAUACUCGUUGACGUGGGCCAGCACGCCUAAAAUGUAUUCCUCUUGGACUACUUUUGUGAACAACAAUCUUCUGAGGAACGGUAUCAUCAACAUGCACAAAAUACUGCUUGACUACAGAGUACGCAGGAUUGUCUUGCAAUGGAUUGGAAUACGUAGGGAGAUCGGAAAUAUAGUCGGAGAAAUGGGGAACGUCUUCAAGGACGUAACCAGCGUCGCCAUGGACGAUCUUCGCCUUGCUACUGUCAACGUUAUUACCUGUUGUGGCCAUCACGAUCGGAAACGAUGACAAGACUUUGAUCUUCAAACAACAAAUCAGAUGGAGGGGGGAAAAU
rnacentral:misc_RNA from 1 species